rnacentral:rRNA from 1 species
UAGGGAAUCUUCGGCAAUGGGGGCAACCCUGACCGAGCAACGCCGCGUGAGUGAAGAAGGUUUUCGGAUCGUAAAGCUCUGUUGUAAGUCAAGAACGAGUGUGAGAGUGGAAAGUUCACACUGUGACGGUAGCUUACCAGAAAGGGACGGCUAACUACGUGCCAGCAGCCGCGGUAAUACGUAGGUCCCGAGCGUUGUCCGGAUUUAUUGGGCGUAAAGCGAGCGCAGGCGGUUUGAUAAGUCUGAAGUUAAAGGCUGUGGCUCAACCAUAGUUCGCUUUGGAAACUGUCAAACUUGAGUGCAGAAGGGGAGAGUGGAAUUCCAUGUGUAGCGGUGAAAUGCGUAGAUAUAUGGAGGAACACCGGUGGCGAAAGCGGCUCUCUGGUCUGUAACUGACGCUGAGGCUCGAAAGCGUGGGGAGCGAACAGGAUUAGAUACCCUGGUAGUCCACGCCGUANCGAUGAGUGCUAGGUGUUGGAUCCUUUCCGGGAUUCAGUGCCGCAGCUAACGCAUUAAGCACUCCGCCUGGGGAGUACGACCGCAAGGUUG